GAUGAAGAACGCAGCGAAAUGCGAUAAGUAAUGUGAAUUGCAGAAUUCAGUGAAUCAUCGAAUCUUUGAACGCACAUUGCGCCCGCCAGUAUUCUGGCGGGCAUGCCUGUCCGAGCAUCAUUUCAACCCUCGAACCCCUCCGGGGGGUCGGCGUUGGGGAUCGGCCCUGCCUUUGGCGGUGGCCGUCUCCGAAAUACAGUGGCGGUCUCGCCGCAGCCUCUCCUGCGCAGUAGUUUGCACACUCGCAUCGGGAGCGCGGCGCGUCCACAGCCGUUAAACACCCAACUUCUGAAAUGUUGACCUCGGAUCAGGUAGGAAUACCCGCUGAACUUAAGCAUAUCAAUAAGCGGAGGA
rnacentral:misc_RNA from 1 species